CCUACGGGGUGCAGCAGUGGGGAAUAUUGGGCAAUGGAGGAAACUCUGACCCAGCAAUGCCGCGUGAAUGAAGAAGGCCUUCGGAUUUUAAAGCUCUUUAUUCAGGGAAGAAGACAAUGACGGUACCUUCAGAAUAAGCUUCUGCUAACUACGUGCCAGCAGCCGCGGUAAUACGGAGGGAGCAAGCGUUGUGCGGAAUGACUGGGCGUAAAGGGUGCGUAGGUGGUUGGACAAGUUAGGAGUGAAAUACCCAGGGCGUAACUCGGGUGCUGCUUCUAAUACUGUAUGGCUUGAGUGGAGUAGCGGUUAGUGGAAUGCAUGGUGUAGCGGUGGAAUGCGUAGAUAUCAGGCAGAACACCAGAGGCGAAGGCAGCUAAC
rnacentral:rRNA from 1 species